rfam:Ictidomys tridecemlineatus contig098409, whole genome shotgun sequence.
GGGGUUGUGGCUCAGUGGUAGAGUGUGUGCCUAGUAUGCAUGAGGCACUGGGUUCAAUCCCCAGCACCACCU